rnacentral:rRNA from 1 species
AUGAACGCUAGCUACAGGCUUAACACAUGCAAGUCGAGGGGCAGCAUGAACUUAGCUUGCUAAGUUUGAUGGCGACCGGCGCACGGGUGAGUAACACGUAUCCAACCUGCCGAUGACUCGGGGAUAGCCUUUCGAAAGAAAGAUUAAUACCCGAUGGCAUAGUUCUUCCGCAUGGUAGAACUAUUAAAGAAUUUCGGUCAUCGAUGGGGAUGCGUUCCAUUAGGUUGUUGGCGGGGUAACGGCCCACCAAGCCUUCGAUGGAUAGGGGUUCUGAGAGGAAGGUCCCCCACAUUGGAACUGAGACACGGUCCAAACUCCUACGGGAGGCAGCAGUGAGGAAUAUUGGUCAAUGGACGAGAGUCUGAACCAGCCAAGUAGCGUGAAGGAUGACUGCCCUAUGGGUUGUAAACUUCUUUUAUACGGGAAUAAAGUGAGGCACGUGUGCCUUUUUGUAUGUACCGUAUGAAUAAGGAUCGGCUAACUCCGUGCCAGCAGCCGCGGUAAUACGGAGGAUCCGAGCGUUAUCCGGAUUUAUUGGGUUUAAAGGGAGCGUAGGCGGACGCUUAAGUCAGUUGUGAAAGUUUGCGGCUCAACCGUAAAAUUGCAGUUGAUACUGGGUGUCUUGAGUACAGUAGAGGCAGGCGGAAUUCGUGGUGUAGCGGUGAAAUGCUUAGAUAUCACGAAGAACUCCGAUUGCGAAGGCAGCUUGCUGGACUGUAACUGACGCUGAUGCUCGAAAGUGUGGGUAUCAAACAGGAUUAGAUACCCUGGUAGUCCACACAGUAAACGAUGAAUACUCGCUGUUUGCGAUAUACAGUAAGCGGCCAAGCGAAAGCGUUAAGUAUUCCACCUGGGGAGUACGCCGGCAACGGUGAAACUCAAAGGAAUUGACGGGGGCCCGCACAAGCGGAGGAACAUGUGGUUUAAUUCGAUGAUACGCGAGGAACCUUACCCGGGCUUGAAUUGCAACUGAAUGAUGUGGAGACAUGUCAGCCGCAAGGCAGUUGUGAAGGUGCUGCAUGGUUGUCGUCAGCUCGUGUCGUGAGAUGUUGGGUUAAGUCCCGCAACGAGCGCAACCCUUAUUGUUAGUUGCUACGCAAGAGCACUCUAACGAGACUGCCGUUGACAAAACGGAGGAAGGUGGGGACGACGUCAAAUCAUCAUGCCCUUUAUGUCUUGGGCUACACACGUACUACAAUGGCGUUAAACAAAGAGAAGCAAGACCGCGAGGUGGAGCAAAACUCAGAAACAACGUCCCAGUUCGGACUGCAGGCUGCAACUCGCCUGCAUGAAGUCGGAAUUGCUAGUAAUCGCGGAUCAGCAUGCCGCGGUGAAUACGUUCCCGGGCCUUGUACACACCGCCCGUCACACCAUGAGAGUUUGUAACACCCGAAGCCGGUGGCGUAACCCUUUUAGGGAGCGAGCCGUCUAAGGUGGGACAAAUGAUUAGGGUG